rnacentral:lncRNA from 1 species
CUUUUGUGCAGGCAUCUCGCUGUCUGCGCUGGGCACGGAGCGGCGCGCGCGCGCCCGUCUUUCCCUCGGCGGCCCCCGCGGCUCGGACCCGGGCCGGCAGACAGGCCAUCCAUCAUCCGCCCUCCUCCCGCGGAGCGCCGCAGCCGCCGCGGCCAAUCCGGCGGCAGGUGGGGCCGCACCUGCGCGACAGCCCGCCGCUUCCCUCCGCUCCCUUCGCCGCGCCUCGCGUGCUAGCGGUGCCCUUGUGAGCCACUGCGUUCUCCAAGGCCAGAACGGGACAGUUGACGAUGGUCGUACUUCUCCAUGUUCUGAGACCAGUUUAAACAAAAACAAAAACCAGACAACAACCUUGCAAGGGAAAGAAUUCAGAGUAAAUAAACAGUCUUUUUCUGGGAAGUAAAAUAUUUCCCUAAGAUGGAGAAAUUGAGAUGAGAGCUCAUCCACAAGAUUACCCAUCAAUGAGCACCAAUAGCAACCAAAUCCACUAGAAGACUGGGAGCUUUUAAGUCAAGAAACUUACAUCAGUAUCAUCAUUCCAAGAAGCGGUAUCCAAGCUGUUUUAUCGAAAGUGCGCAUGGGAGAUAAGACUCUGAGAAUUUAUAGAAACAAACAUUAGAAGGCAGGAAUGUGGAGAGAAGAAAGCUACCUGACAAGGGAAUCUCAGGAUACAAGGAAAACACCAAGGAAUGUAAAUCUCUGUUUACCACAAGCCCUCUGUCUCCACAAGUUCUGUGUCCAGAACUGAAGGCAGAUCCAAAUACAAUAUUCAUGGGAUGCAAAUUCCCAUGUAUGCCAAGAGAUAACUGCUUUAUUGGAGGCCUAGUGGGGAACUGAAACUCCCACUCCUGCUUAGCAGGAAUGAGAAGCCCCCUUUCAGAGGUCAACAGAAGCUGAGUUAAGAAACCUGAACUUUUACCCUACCUGGCAGUAAUGAAGCGACACCCACCUUCGUCUGUGAGGAUGGUGUGAGAUGAAGGUAGCUAAAACAAAAGGUUUAAAUAAGAUUCAGAGUCUCAUCAUAUUGAAAUGUCCAUAUUUCAGUGGAAAAUUACUCAUCAUACAAAAACAAGAAAGAACUAAAACUAAGUGAGAAAAGAUAAUAAAUAUAUGCCAACAUCAAGAUGACACAAAUGUUAGAAUUAUCUGGCAAAGCUUGUAAAGCAGCCAUCAUAAAAAUACUCCAAUGAACAAUUAAAACAUUCUUGUAGCUAAUGAAAAUUUAUUUGGAAAGCUUCAACAAAGAAAUAGGAAGUCAUAACCAAAAAUAGAAGAUAAAAGAGUCAAAUGGAAAAUUUUGAACUGAAGAAUACAAUAACCAAUAUAAAAAACUCAAUGCAUGGGCAGAAUGGAGGAGACAGAGGAAAUAUUGGUGAACUGGAGGAAACAAUAUAAAUUGACCAUCUAUACAACAGAGAGAAGAUAGAGUGAAAAAAAGAUGAAAGGAACCUCAAAGACCUUCGAGAUUAUAGCAAAAAAAACCAAAAUAAAACAAAACCAAAAACCAACAAACAGACAGACAAAAAAUUAACCUUUGCAUUCCCUGAGUCCUAGAAGACCGGAAGAUGGCAGACCUGAAAAACAUUCUAAGAAAUAAUGGCUGAAAUGUGUUUAAAUUUAGCCAAAGACAUAAAUAUACAGAUUUAAGAAACUGAGUGAAUCCCAAAUAGGAUAAACUCACAGAAAUUCAUAGCAAGACACUCAUAGUCAAACUUUUGAGAACUGAAGACAAAAAAGAAAAACAAAAAGUCAAUCCAGAUGUCCUUCAAGGGGAAGAUGAUUAAACCAACCGUGAUACAUGCAUGCUAAUAGAAAAAAAACUACUGAUGCCUGGAACCACCUGGAUGAAUCUCUAAAGAAUUAUGGAGAGUGACAAAAAUAAUUUUAAAAUGUUACAUAGUAUAUUGUUUUAUUUAUAUAACAACAUGAUUGAAAUAACAAGAUCAUAGAAAUGGAGACUCAUUAGGGGUUAAGGAGGGGGAAGGAUAAGAAGGAAGAGGGAGUGGCCAUAAAAGGCAGCACGAAGUAUCCCUGUGCCGAUAGAAAUAUUUCUUAUCUUGACAGUAGCAAUGUCAAUAUCCUGUUUGUUACACUACAGUUUUGCAAGAUGUUAGCAUUGGAAGGAACUGGGUAAAAGAUCACUCUGCGUUCUCUCUUACAACUGCAAAUAAAUCCACAAUUAUCCUAAAAUAGAAAGUUUAAUUUACAAAAACAUUUCUGCAAGCCUUGUAACUCAGUGGCUACAUAACUCUGGACUUAGACCCAAAGAAUUUUGACUGUCACUUUAAUCUCAUGUAACCCUGGACAAGUAUUCAGCCAGUCUGAGCCUACUUUCUUGUCAGUUAAAUGGGCAUAAUGAUAGCUACCCUACUUAUUAAUAUUUCACCAACUGUAGUCAGGAUGAAAUAAAAAUGAAAUAAUGAUCAGGAAGGGCUGCUUUUUUAUUGUUCUUAGGAACUUUUGUUAAAAUGUCUACUAGAGAUCAAGGCUCCCAACACAACUAAAGAGACAUUGACACAGGAACUGGCGGUGGGCAUGAAAUACCUAAGACUAAAUGAAUGUUAUGUAAUCCCAGCACUUUGGGAGGCCAAGGCCGGUGGAUCAGGUGUUCCAGACCAGCCUGGCCAACAUGGUGAAACCCUGUCUCUACUGAAAACACAAAAGUUAGUUGGGCGUGGUGGCGUAUACCUAUAAUCCCAGCUACUCAGGAGGCUGAGGCAGGAGAACCCCUUGAACCUGGGAGGUGGAGAUUGCAGUGACCUGAGAUCUCACCAUUGCACUCCAGCCUGGGCGAUAAAAGCGAAACUCUGUCUUAAAAUAAAAGAGUGUUAACUCUUUUAACUCUAAGACUAAAUGAGUGUUAAAAUGAGUGCUAACAUAUAUAGAAAUUUUUACAGUCUGUCAACAUAGAUCAGUACAAUUAUUAGAAAAGGGAAAUUAUCUAGGUGCAGUGGUGUGUGCCUAUAGUCCCAGCUGCUCGGGAGGCUGAGGCAGGAGGAUUGUUUGAGCACAGGAGAUUGAACUGCUGUGAGCUAUGAUCGUGCCACUGCAUUCUAGCCUGGGCAACAGAGCAAGACCCUGUCUCUAGGAGAAAAAGAAAAAAAAGACUGAGGUUAGCCUAAGAAAAACCUUCAUAAUUUGCAGCGGUAUUAUUAUUAUUGUUGUUCUUAACAAUAAUAAUAACAGAAAAAGUUUUUCUAUUUUUGUAGAUGUAAGAAUUACAAGUACAGUUUUGUUAUGUGGAUGUAGUGGUGGGUAUUGGUGAAGUCUGGUAUUUUAGUAUAAACAUCACCCAAAUUGUUUACUUUAUACAAGAAAGGGCUUCUUAUCUCUUCAAGUACCACAGCAGAAAGAACUCACUUUUGCUGGAUGCUAACUGUGUGCCAGGCUCCAAGCUAAGCUGAAUGCAUUUUUUAAUUUAUAAUCUAUGUGUUAGUAUUUUAUGUGAAAUCUUUAAAAGCAGGGUUCCAUAGCUGAAUGGCAGAGUAUGUGAUAUUUAACAAAGCACCACUAAAGAGGAAAUCCCAUCUUUUAUAUCUUCCUCAGGCAUUCAAGAGUUUCCAAGUUCAGAGGCUACAGUAAACUCUUAAUCCCUGACCUCUUCAACACUCUGAAACUUCAGAUAUCCUCUCCUUCUCCUUUCCUUAAACAUGCUAAAUCUAACCUACCAUCUUGGUUCUUCAGUGUCCUUUCCCUUGCUUGCUGUGCACAGCUUAAAAAGAUGAGCUACACCAACAACCAGCCUCCCUGCUGUGCAGUUUUUCCUUUGCACUACCUGCUUUCUAGAGGACAAUGAGUCCAUAGGGCUUGGUCCUUUUUCUCUUUACAGCACCUCCCUAAUACUGUGCCACUAGACUGGGAAAAGACAGAAGAGUUUGCAGCUAGAUGUUGCUGUCUUCUUCUUAAUACAUUCCACCUCAUGUAUUAUCACAAUUUACAAUUGAGGAAAUGUUAGUCAUCUACUGAGAACAUACAGCUAUGUUAGUUUAGGAGGCUUAGGAAAUGUUUAAUUAACAAAGAGAUGACUGUUCCACAUUGUGCACGAAUUUGUUUUCUGUUUUCUGGUUUUUGCUAUGAGACUCUAGUACAAAGAAUCCAUUUAUUUGUUUAUUCAUUCAUUUGUUGAUUCUUUCAUUUAUUCAUUUCAUCAUGCAUUCAUCAAUGACCUAACACCUACUAAUUGCAGGGCUCUGUGGUAGACUCCAAGGAUAUGAAGGUGAACAACAUAUAAUCUAGAGAGAUACACAUGAAAACAAUAAAAUGAGAAUAUGGUUCCUGGUGUAUCAAGGCGUGAAGGUGUUGUCAUAACACAGAGAAAGAAGCACUUCACUAUGGAGCCGUCACGGCACCUAGAGAGCGUGGGAAACUCAGAUGGCUGCAAGGGCCAGGCAUACAACAAACUCCCAUGUUGGGGAGUACAAGGAACAGCCCUGAUGAAAUCUGAUUGAAUAAAUGAAUAGAAGUGGACCUAGUGUUCUAGGGUCUAGGAACAUUAUAUGUAAGAAUGAUAUCCUGUGGGCCCCAUCUUUAACAUUUAGCUCAACUGACCAUUUGUUACCAUAUCCAAUAAAACCCUCCUACCUCUCCUCAUGCCACAUGCAGUAGCCUCCUAUUUAGUCUCCCUGUUUCCACUCUUGCCAUAUUUCGUCUUCUUUACUUGUCAAUCAGAGGGAGAUAUAAUGCAUAAGUUCAUGCAACGUCUUCACCCAAUGGCCGUGACUGAGAGUUGAAGCCAAAGCCUUUAUCUUUGAAAGCAUGUUUUUCCUAAAUAAACAUUAGAAUACCCUACACAGGAUUUUUAAAAAUAUCAAUGGAUGGCCCCCACUCUGGAUGAAUUCUGCACCCCCAAAUUGUGGAUGAUAUAAGGUGGCUCUCAGGCUGCUGCCAUUCCAUCAUCUCACUCCCUCAUUAUUUUACUCAACCCAAUGUUGCCUUUGCACAGAGACCUUUGCUGGCCACCUUGUCCAAGCAUCACUGUUCUUUCACAUCUUUGCUGUUCUCAUAGUACUCUUGGCAAUCCACAUGCUCUGUUAUUGGCUAAAUGUGCUUCAUAGUCCAUCUUUCUCUACUAGAAGAUGUCUGCUAGAAGAGUUCAGGGAUUUUACUUGUUUUUGUUUACUGUCCUACCCCAGUGCCUGUGAAAGUGCCUGGCACUCACGCCUGUAAUCCCAGCACUUUGGGAGGCCGAGGCGGGUGGAUCACCUGAGGUCAGGAGUUCGAGACCAGCCUGGCCAACAUGGUGAAACCCUGUCUCUAUACAAAAAUUAUCCGGGCAUGGUGGCAGGUGCAUGUGAUCCCAGCUACUCGGGAGGCUGAGGCAGGAGAAUUGCUUGAACCCAGGAGGCGGAGGUUGCAGUGAGCCGAGAUCAUGCCUCUGCACUCCAGCCUUGGCAAAAGAGUGACGCUCCAUCUCAAAAAAAAAAAAAAAAAAGAAAGAAAGAAAGAAAGAAAGAAAGAAAGAAAGAAAGAAAGAAAGAAAGAAAUUGCCCGGCACAUAGGAGGCAUUAAAUAAAUAAAGUAUAAAACAAACUGAAUUGACAAUGACGAAUUUAAGAAGGGUUUAACAUGUUCAAGGGAAGUGGAGGGAAGUUGAUUGAGAGUAGAAACAAGCAAUAGGAAAUGAUCCAGGAAAGAGAAGAAGGCUUGGUAGAAAAUAAGGAGCUAGGAUAUUUUUUCCCUAAGAAGAUGAGGAGCCUUAUUCAUUUUAAACAGGAGACUUUCACAGCUAGCUUUGUUUUUUAGAAAACUCAGUCUUGCUGAAUUUUGGGAGAUGAGUUAGUCCAAAAUUGAGUUAAGGAGACAAAAAUGAAAAUACCUGUUAGGAGACUCUCCUAAUCCUUAAUGAGAAGAAGUUGAACAAAACUAUGGCAUAUUUCAACAUAUUUCAACAUCAAUGUAUGGAAAGAAAUGGAAACUGACCCACAUAUGGGUUUGUUUUGUCUUACUUGGUAUUGGGCACAACCCUGAAGAGUGAAUGGUCACUUGCAAUUAAGUUUAUAAGCAAGUAAGUUCACGGCUUCUCUCCGGCAAAAACUCAGGUUUGUCUUUGGGGCUCUCUCUCUAUUCUGGUUAACAAAUACAAAUUAAGGUAGGCUUAAAAAAGACAAACUUAAAACAUUUCCAGAAACCAAACAGAGGUCACUGAAGCCCCUCUAGGCCCCUUCUGUUCCCACAUUCUAUUCCCCAAGUGCGGCCUACAUGAUCCUGGUUCCUCUCCAUUUAUAACUUUGCCUCAUAGGCCGUUCUGCACAUUUCUCAUCCCGAUGUGAAAAAGUGCUACAGGGCGUCUGUUCAAAAUCUUUUCUAAUUUCUAUUUAUGCUUCAUUGUCCUAUAAUCUGUUCAAAGCUGAAAAUAGAACUAAGGUAUGAUCUCAGCAUAACCUUUAGCAAUUAAUUUUGUUACUAUUUUUUUCUAACUGAACAAACUCCUAAUAAAUAAGAAAAGCUUUAUCUGUAAAAUAACCCCAAAAUAGACCUCCACCUCUUACCCUUCAUCCUUCUCUAAACUUGCUAAGCCAGUAUUAAGUAGAGUCUCCCCCACCCCGCCCUUCCUUCCUUCAACCCAAUAUUACUUUGGUUAAAGAAGUAAAUCUAAUUAAAGGAGCAUGGGAAAUGGAAGUCGUUUUGUGAGUUAGAGAAGCUGGCUCUGUGUAUCUUUCACCGGUGAUUGGGCUUACAAGAUGGAAAAUUCCAUACACUGCUAAGCAAAGUGCUCUCAAUGUUGUUGCAACAUCUGCUUUUCUUUGUGUAAAAUCUUUUCCACGGGGUGGGUGAAGAUUUUUAUUCUAAUUGAAUUUGUAGUUAAUUCCAGAUAAAGAUAAGCCGGGGUUUUUUUCGGUUUUUGUUUUUUGCUGAUGCUGCUUAAAUCAGGGGUUCCAGGCCCAUCCCUCAAGGCCCACUUUUACCCAAAAUGAAUCAAAAGGAGUAGCAGGUGCUUUGGAUUAAGUGACCCUCCAUUUCUUUACAUUUUUAGAAAGAAUAAAAUACUUAGAUUCACUUAAUUCCUGAUUUGGUCUUUUAAAUUAUUUGUGAUAGGAGAACAAACUCUUGUUUCUUAAAUGCAGUGUUUCUAACCCAUUAAGCAAGGAUGCGGAUGGGCCUUGGUUUGAAGAUAGCUUACUACCCUCUUUGAGAAUAUUAAUGUAGUGUUAAUUGAUCAUCAUAAGAAAUAUGUUUAUGGUCCUAAACCAUUCUUAAGAAACUAAGGAGUCUGUCUUCCAAUAUUUGUUGCAAUAUUUGUUAAACAAAUUAAUAAAUGGGUGAACAAAAGAAAGAAUAAAAUAUAAUGCCUGUGAGCCUUCCAGUGGCUUUGCCAUGCCACCUACUUGAUAGCCUUCUGCCUGUCACAGUGGCCUUUGGCAAUGAAUAAUUUCCAUCAGUUUAUAUUUUGGAUGUUAUGAAAUAAGAGAAGACUAUUCAAUUACAAUUACUUUUGUUUUUCCAACCAACCUUGAUAAAUGAAUGGACCCUCAUCUCCUCUCCCUGCUACAUUUAUUGGGGACGAUAAAACAGAAAGUAAAACCAGGACCGAGAACCAGAAGUAGCUGGAAUCCAUUCCUGUACCCUAUUAGAGUCACUUAACAAAGCUGACUUCAUAUUUUCUCCAGAGGGUUUGGACUCAGAGAAAGUGCGCCCCCUUCCCUCCCUAGAAGUGGGGUUGGAGAUGUCCACCAAAAGCUAUGGGUAAAAUACAUUAAUGUAAUCUUGACAUUUUCAAAGGUAUUAUGUAUUGUUGACAUUACUGAUAUUGACUAACCCUUGUGAAUGUUUACCAUUUCUUAUCACAUUUAGACCCAAAGCAUGGAUUUGAACUUUUCCUCCUUGAGGGUUCUGCCCUGAUUCUUGCAGUUGAGUUAGUUGUCCUUGAUCUGGACCCUUUAAUAUACAGAACAUAUUUCUUUAUCUAUCAUUGCACAUUUUUUAACUGUUGUGAGCUUUAUAGACACAUUCUCUCCCCAGAAAUCUGUUUAUUUGGUCAAUUUUAGGACAGAAGGAAUAUUACUAAUUUAUUUUUAAAAGUCACCAGAUGCUCAUCAAUGAUUUAUAAAUUAAUGAAC